UAUUUCUCUCGAGUCACUCCGGCGCUGCUCUUGUGCCUCGUGUGUGUUGGACAGCCAGCCCACAUUGCUUUCUAAUACCUGUGAGACUUUUCAAGAUGCCUGAGGAAGUGCACCAUGGAGAGGAGGAGGUGGAAACUUUUGCCUUUCAGGCAGAAAUUGCCCAACUCAUGUCUCUCAUCAGCAAUACCUGCUAUUUCAACAAGGAGAUUUUCCUUCGGGAGUUGAUCUCUAAUGCUUCUGAUGCCUUGGACAAGAUUUGCUAUGAGAGCCUGACAGACCCUUCCAAGUUGGACAGUGGUAAAGAGCUGAAAAUUGAAAUUAUCCCCAACCAUCAGAAACGUACCUUGACUUUGGUAGACACAGGCAUUGGCAUGACCAAAGCAGAUCUCAUAAAUAAUUUGGAAACCAUUGCCAAGUCUGGUACUCAAGCAUUCAUGGAGGUUCUUCAGGCUGGUGCAGACAUCUCCAUGAUUGGGCAAUUUGGUGUUGGCUUUUAUUCUGCCUACCUGGUGGCAGAGAAUGUGGUCGUGAUCACAAAGCACAACGACGAUGAACAGUAUGCCUGGGAGUCUUCUGCUGGAGGUUCCUUCGCUGUGCUUGCUGACCAUGGUGAGCUCAUUGGCAGGGGUACUAAAGUGAUCCUCUACCUUAAAGAAGAUCAGACAGAGUACUUAGAAGAAAGGCGGGUCAAGAAGUGGUGAAGAAGCACUCUCAGUUCAUAGGCUGUCCUGUCACCCUUUAUUUGGAGAAGCAACAAGAGAAGGAAAUUAGUGAUGAUGAGGCAGAGGAAGAGAAAGGUGAGAAAGAAAAGGAAGAUAAAGAUGGUGAGAAAAGCCCAAGACUGAAGAUGUGGGUUCAGAUGAGGAUGAUAGCGGUAAGGAUAAGAAGAAGAAAACUAAGAAGAUCAAAGAGAAAUACAUUGAUCAGGAAGAACUAAACAAGACCCAGCCUAUUUGGACCAGAAACCCUGAUAACAUCAUUCAAGAGGAGUAUGGAGAAUUCUACAAACCUCACCAAUGACUGGGAAGACCACUUGGGAGUCAAGCACUUUUCUGUAGAAGGUCAGUUGGAAUUCAGGGCAUUGCUGUUCAUACCUCGUCGGUAUGAAAAGCAACCUCCCUUUGACCUUUUUGAGAACAAGAAGAAAAAGAACAACAUCAAACUCUAUGUCCGUCGUGUAUUCAUCAUGGACAGCUGUGAUGAGCUGAUACCAGAGUAUCUCUACUUUAUCCGUGGUGGGGUUGACUGAGGAUUUAUCUCUCAA